GACAUUCCAAAAUUCUCUGGGAAAUGUGGGUUCAACUGUGCCUUCGAGGCCCUCAGUGCCUUUCAGUUCUAUGGAAUAUACAAAUGGGAGUUCUGCAUCAAUGAAGAAAUGAAACCAAUUGGCCGAUCAGGCACCUGAGCUACAGUGAAAAAAACAUUGGACCUGGGAAAUUGACGUAGAGUCUCAACUCUGCUACUUUGUCAUUUGGAUAGAUGGGAUUCCUUUGAGACUCAGUUUUUGCACACGUGAAAUGGUAGUAAUUCUCCUUACUCUGUCCCUUUUCUACGUUGGCUGUGAGCAGCGAAGGACAACAUUGAAAGGGAGAACUUCUGGUGAGGCAGAUUUCUUGGGGCAAUUGUCGAUUUCAUUGUAUUUGGAAAGGAAGAGUUUUGAAGAUCAUUUCUUGUGCCUAAGCCAUCUUCUGUAACCAGAAGAACUGUAGGAACAGCACUUCCAUUCACAGAUGGAGCAACUACAUGAGGUCAUGCCAGCCUGGUCCUUCAGUAAAACCAGUCAGAGCCACCAGUGUCAAGUUCUGCAAGAUUAUUAAGAGAAACCAAAUCUAUUCCAGCCUCUGAUUAUGUGAUUCAAGGACCAUCUGACUCUCUAGAUCCCUUCAUACAGCCUCCAUACUUGCCAGCCUGUUCUUGCCUCAGGGUCACUGCACGUGGCGAGAACAACUGAAGGUCACGUGCACCCAUCCAGGCUCAGGUGCACUUCAGAGAAACACAGGUGCUGCAAAUGCAGUUUCUCUGAUGUCACACUGUCAAGGAAGCACAUAUACACCUCUGAUUCACGAAUUCGUGCUUUACAUCACAGGAUGCCCAGAGUCCACCAGGCCAAAAUAUUAUUAUUAAAGACAUCGAAGGAGAAUAUCUCUGAAUAGAAGGCAAGAUUCUUCAGACAGAAGGAGCAAGAUUUCCCAGCCACCUGGGCCUGAUUCUGGAGAGAAAAGGACUGAGAAGAAGG